UGCCUCAGUAACGGCGAGUGAAGCGGCAACAGCUCAAAUUUGAAAUCUGGCCCUUUCAGGGUCCGAGUUGUAAUUUGCAGAGGGUGCUUUGGCGUUGGCCGUGGUCUAAGUUCCUUGGAACAGGACGUCACAGAGGGUGAGAAUCCCGUACGUGGCCGCCGGUCUUCGCCGUGUAAAGCCCCUUCGACGAGUCGAGUUGUUUGGGAAUGCAGCUCUAAAUGGGAGAUACAUUUCUUCUAAAGCUAAAUAUUGGCCAGAGACCGAUAGCGCACAAGUAGAGUGAUCGAAAGAUGAAAAGCACUUUGGAAAGAGAGUCAAAAAGCACGUGAAAUUGUUGAAAGGGAAGCGCUUGCAGCCAGACGUGCCCGCAGUUGCUCACCCAGGCUCUUGCCUGGGGCACUCUUCUGCGGGCAGGCCAGCAUCAGUUCGGGCGGUUGGAUAAAGGUCUCUAUCACGUACCACCCUUCGGGGUGUCCUUAUAGGGGAGACGCAACACGGCCAGCCUGAACUGAGGACCGCGCAUCAGCUAGGAUGCUGGCGUAAUGGCUGUAAGCGGCCCGUCUUGAAACACGGACCAAGGAGUCUAACAUCUAUGCGAGUGUUUGGGUGUAAAGCCCGGGCGCGCAAUGAAAGUGAACGGAGGUGGGAACCCUUUGGGUGCACCAUCGACCGAUCCUGAAGUCUUCGGAUGGAUUUGAGUAAGAGCAUAGCUGUUGGGACCCGAAAGAUGGUGAACUAUGCCUGAAUAGGGUGAAGCCAGGGGAAACCCUGGUGGAGGCUCGCAGCGGUUCUGACGUGCAAAU
rnacentral:rRNA from 2 species